rnacentral:lncRNA from 1 species
GGUCGUAGAGAGAUCUUGUGCAAAAUGGAAACUCAAGGAUGUGAGAACCCAUGACCCAGUCACCAGCACCACAGAUGUGGAGGUUUUCUCUGGCAUCAGAGGAAAGAAGCUCAGCUGAGCUUUCUCCUGACGUGGCGCUACACCAGCCUUUCCACCCAACUGGCCAAGCAUCUCUCAGCUGAAAUGAUCCUCAGUAGUUUGAGUCCUCAACUUACAGUAUUCUUUGAAUGCCAAAGGUGACAGCACAGAGUAGACGUGAGGGCAAACCACACUGGCAUGACCACCCAUGGUGGAGAGUCUCCUGGCAAGGCUGUGGGUUCUGAAGAUGGACAGCCUUGCUCCAGUCCUGAGUCUACGGUUUGUUCGCUGUGAAAUGACUUAAGUUUCAAUCAUUCCAAGAUCUCAUGUCUAUUUCCUCAAGUAUAAAACGAGAACGUGCUGCUUACAUCAGGCCUGUACCAGGCACGUUGUGGAUAGUCAACAACUGUGGAAAAUGCUCCGUUCCCCCAUCACUCCACAUUUCCUUGAGCAAGAGAAAUUGAAGCACAGUGGGAGAGAAAAUGAACUCGCACCUAAUACUUUGCCCGUCUGUCAGCAGAUGAGACCCAGGGUGUAGGGGAGGAAAUCUUUGAAUUCACCCUCCGUGUAUUUCCCAUCUUUCAGACCUUCCUAAAGGUAGACGACAAACGGGUGCUGCUCAGCAAUGGGCGUUGAGCCAAUCCGAUCUAGGAAGGAGAAAUCUUGGGCAACAAUGUUUUUUCCUCGCCAUGUAUUUGAGGUUGAUGAGCAGCCCAGGAUGAGCCAUGAGUCUAAGCAAUAUUUUGUAUGUUCAUACUUGGGAAUUUCUUUUGCUGUCUCCCAUCCCCCAAUACAGCUUUUUAUCAUCACGUUCCUGUUUUGGCUUGGCUGCCUGCACUAUCCAAGAAGGAUCCUGCUCCGUUCCUGGGCACGAAGUCCUCUUAAAAAUGGUGUGGUGGGGGCAGGGAUGAUUAUCAACCCACCUCCCUCCUUGCCAUCACCCAUGGAGAGGUGACGGGAGGGAGUUCUCGUGCAGGUCCCAAGAGUGUGAUGAGGGAGGAGGAGCGUUGCUCUCCUGUCAGCAGUAACAGGAAUGCUGGAGAGAGCUGCUUCUGUCUUUCUCUCUGGACUCUGGAAAUCACAGACAGUCCUGAGGUCCUGAAACCACUUGCCACGGACCUGGUCCUCGCUGCACAAGAACAGGAGAUGGACAUCAAGCAUACCUUUGAGAAGUGCCUGGACACCAGCCUUUACACACAAUUCCUCACGUUUUAUGGAAGAGAGGAAUUCGCAUUUUGCUUUAAAGUUUGUAAGAAGAAAUGCUCUUAGAUAGAUAUUCUAGACCAGGGCCAUCCAUCAGAAACAUACCGUGAGCCAAGUAUGUCAUAUUAAAAUUUCAGUAAAUUCUCAUUAAAAAAUUGAAAUUUAUUUUCAUCAUUUCAACAUGUAACGAUAGGAAUGCUUAAAUACUAACACUCUGUUUUUUCACACUGUCAUCAAAAUCCAGUAUGAAUUUUAUGCUCACUAGCACAGUCUCCACUUGGAGCGGCCACAUCUCCAGGGUGCAAUAACUCCACAGCACUGGUGGCUGCCUUCCUGGACACUGGGGAGCAAGAGUUUGCAUAAGAAAAUGGUCAGCUCGUAUGUUCUUUUUUGUUUGUUUGUUUUAGCUCUUAUGUUCUUGCUGGUUAUUUACAACAUUCCAGUAAAGGUUAAAAAUUAGGCUAAUUAUAAAAAGGUUGAAGGAAAAAUUCAACCUCCUGUGACAGUUUGCAACUUGUAGUGAACCAACACAUUCUCUAGGUAUCUGAUAUUGCAGAUCACCGUAACGAGACGGUUGCAAGUCAGUCUUGGGAGGUAAGAGGUUGAAUUGCUUCUUGGCGCUCUGAAGGCUGCUCCUGUUGGCCUCCGUUGUAGCUGUUUCAUUCCAUGGGCAGUUCUGAAACAGCAGCCAGGUGCUGCUAAGGAACACCCAAAAGAAGAGACAGGUUUAGCGAGGCCCCCAGAGUGCUUCUAAUGUCACGCGUCCUGGGCUGGUAGGUGGUGCCAGGACCAGCCCUGAGGUCUCCUGGCCCAAAUGUAUACCCAGACGCAAGUCCACCCCUCCUUUAGUCCUCACCAAGUUCCCCAAGGAAAUUUGGAUGUCUCUUGCAGGUUGUUAUCAGCAACGGAAGGGAGAAAAGCCAACGGUUCCAUCACUUCAUGCUUGCCAUUGUCUGCAAGAACUUUCCAGUGUGACGUUGUGGAUGCACAAAGAAAUCUAAGAUACAGAUUGCAGAAAUUGUGUCCUCUAAUCAGAGUGCUCAUCCCUAAAAAUUUGCUGGCCACUUGAGUGCCCUUGGACAAGUUUCUCCUCUCAAAUAUAACAAGGUUGACCUAACAGUUCUCUAGCCCCUCUUGUACCUGACUUCUGUGACUAAGCCCUAGAAUACAGGACGGAGGGGGCUGGUGGUGAGGGGGACAGGAUCAACAGAGUCUUAUGGGUGCUGAGGGCUCUAGUCUCCUGGGGCCAGGCUGGGUGGCCCCUAUGCUUUGGGGGACCACCUGCCAGGACAGGCAGGCCCGGUGGGGAAAAGCCCUCUGUGCUCGCUCUUGCCUAAGUGCCUAAGGGGGUGUCUCCACCCCCUUCUCUGUGCUCCCCUGAGAAGAGGCAAAACCAGGGACCCUUCUUCUAGGUGACUCGUAUCCUUCACAGACACUUGGAGGUGUAGCGGGGAUACUAAAUCUGCUGGUCUCGUGCCCUGAAAGCGUAUCUCAACUCUGGGAAGUCUUGGGGGAAGGCAUGUCCACCUUACAGCUCUCUGGCUCUCUCUGUCCCCUUCUCCAGGCCACUCCCUGCUGGCUGAGUCCCAGAACCCGCCAAGGACCCACUGGCCAUGGAGAUCAUCUCCCUCUCCCUGCCUUCUGCUCUUGCUCCUGUUAUCCUCCUCAGAAAGCCCGGCCUUGGCCACCUCUGGCAGGGGCAGGAGCAAGGGCAAGGGCAAGGGCAAGGGCAAGGGCAAGGGCACUGGCUUGCACUCUAGGAGACAGGACCCAGUGGGACAGAGGUUCUUGGCGUGCACCCUGUCCUCGAGACAUUGCGGCCCCGGCAAAACUGCAAUAUGGCCGCAGGGCAGAGGGCAAGGCCAGUCCCUGAGUACUGCGACCCUAUUAUCGUCACCCCACCGCUGGGGUCCUGGAGCACCAAAUGGCUACAUUUCUCCCUCUGGAAAAUAGAGCUCCAGAGACACACGGGUGGGGUGGGAACCAAACAGAGCACUUGGGGUCCUGCCAGGCCCACUCGGGGUGGGGGACACACAAGGGGAUAGGCAGCAGGCUGCCCCCCGCCCCUGGCAGAGCUCAGGGCCCACACUCCCCAGGCCACAGCAGGGGUGAGGGUGGAAGCACGUGGGGGCAGGGAAGGGCCCAAAGAGGCACCCACAGGGAACCCUGCUUCACGCAACUUGACCCCUGCUGAUAUCCUUCAUUCAAAAGAAGCCAAACCCAUGGAUUUUUUUCUUACCCUAAUUAUAAAAGUAAUAUGUGCUCACAACAGAAAAUGUAAUGUAGACUGAACAGAAAGCACUAAAGGAAAGGAACCUCACAGGCAACGGUCCCAAGAUAACAGUUGGGUGCAUCUCCAGGCUUUCUAGCUCUUGCUUUAAGGACACACACGGGAAUAAAAUAGGAAUCUUUUGUACCCUGUUUUCCUGCAACAUUUUUUUUUCAUGGCAUUAAAACAUUUCCCUACUUCUUCCCUGUAAAGAUUAAAUCGUAGCCUACCAUAUGGCUGCCACACAGUUUACUUCUGCUCUGUCCUCUGUGAUCUAACUUUCAGGUUGUUCCAUUUUGUUGUUCAUUGUUUUUUUAAUUUAAAUUUUAGUGAGUGAACAUAGAGCACGAUAUUGGUUUCUGGAGUGGAAUUCAGUGAUUUAUCACUUAGAUAUAACACCUAGUGCUCAUCAUCACAAGUGCCCUCUUUCAUGCCCAUCACUCAUCUAGCCCACCCCCCACCCACCUCCCUACAUCAACCCUCAAUUAGUUUUCGAUCAUUAAGAGUCUCUCAUGGGGACUCCUGGGUGGCUCAGAGGUUGAGCAUCUGCCUUCAGCCUGGGGGGCGUGAUCUUGGAGUCCCAGGAUCGAGUCCCACGUGGGGCUCCCUGCAUGGAGCCUGCUUCCCCCUCUGCCUUUGUCUCUGCCUUUCUCUGUGUCUCUCAUGA